CGCGGGGUGGCGAAGUGCGGACAGCUCGGGGCGGUCAUGCCGCCUAGGCCGCCGGUUCAAAUCCGGCCCCCGCAACCA
rnacentral:tRNA from 1 species